rnacentral:rRNA from 1 species
CCAGCGGAGGGAUCAUUACUGAGUUACCGCUCUAUAACCCUUUGUGAACAUACCUACAACUGUUGCUUCGGCGGGUAGGCCGUCCCCUGAAAAGGACGCCUCCCGGCCCGGACCGGACCCCCUGUGGGGCCGGACUCGGCGCCCGCCGGAGGAUAACCAAACGCUAUUUUAACGACGUUUCUUCUGAGUGGCAUAAGCAAAAUAAUCAAAACUUUUAACAACGGAUCUCUUGGUUCUGGCAUCGAUGAAGAACGCAGCGAAAUGCGAUAAGUAAUGUGAAUUGCAGAAUUCAGUGAAUCAUCGAAUCUUUGAACGCACAUUGCGCCCGCCAGCAUUCUGGCGGGCAUGCCUGUUCGAGCGUCAUUUCAACCCUCAAGCUCUGCUUGGUGUUGGGGCUCUACGGUCGACGUAGGCCCUCAAAGGUAGUGGCGGACCCUCCCGGAGCCUCCUUUGCGUAGUAACAUUUCGUCUCGCACUGGGAUCCGGAGGGACUCUUGCCGUAAAACCCCCCAAUUUUUCAAGGUUGACCUCGGAUCAGGUAGGAAUACCCGCUGAACUUAAGCAUAUCAAU